rnacentral:tRNA from 1 species
GGGUAUAUAGCUCAGGGGUAAAGCACGUGCUCAGAAUGCAUGAGGUCUUGGGUUCAAUCCCAGUACCUCCA